rnacentral:rRNA from 1 species
UGGGGGAUAACCCAUCGAAAGAUGCGCUAAUACCGCAUAAUCUCUAAGGAGAAAAGCAGGGGAUCGCAAGACCUUGCGCUUUUGGAGCGGCCGAUGUCUGAUUAGCUAGUUGGUGAGGUAAAGGCUUACCAAGGCUUCGAUCAGUAGCUGGUCUGAGAGGACGACCAGCCACACUGGGACUGAGACACGGCCCAGACUCCUACGGGAGGCAGCAGUGGGGAAUUUUGGACAAUGGGGGCAACCCUGAUCCAGCCAUGCCGCGUGAGUGAAGAAGGCCUUCGGGUUGUAAAGCUCUUUCAGCCGGAACGAAAAGGUUACGGUUAAUACCCGUGACUAAUGACGGUACCGGAAGAAGAAGCACCGGCUAACUACGUGCCAGCAGCCGCGGUAAUACGUAGGGUGCGAGCGUUAAUCGGAAUUACUGGGCGUAAAGCGUGCGCAGGCGGUUUUGUAAGUCAGAUGUGAAAUUCCCCGGGCUUAACCUGGGAACUGCGUUUGAAACUACAAGGCUAGAGUGUGGCAGAGGGGGGUGGGAAUUCCACGUUCGUAGCAGUGAAAUGCGUAGAAGAUGUGGAGGAACACCGAUGGCGAAGGCAGCCCCCUGGGUUAACACUGACGCUCAGGCACGAAAGCGUGGGGAGCAAACAGGAUUACAUACCCCUGGUAGUCCACGCCCUAAACGAUGUCAACUAGUUGUCGGGUCUUAACGGGCUUGGUAACGCAGCUAACGCGUGAAGUCGACCGCCUGGGGAGUACGGUCGCAAGAUUAAAACUCAAAGGAAUUGACGGGGACCCGCACAAGCGGUGGAUUAUGUGGAUUAAUUCGAUGCAACGCGAAAAACCUUACCUACCCUUGACAUGUACCGAAGCCCGCCGAGAGGUGGGCGUGCCCGAAAGGGAACGGNAACACAGGUGCUGCAUGGCUGUCGUCAGCUCGUGUCGUGAGAUGUUGGGUUAAGUCCCGCAACGAGCGCAACCCUUGUCAUUAAUUGCCAUCAUUCAGUUGGGCACUUUAAUGAAACUGCCGGUGACAAACCGGAGGAAGGUGGGGAUGAC